AUCGAACGCUGGCGGCAGGCCUAACACAUGCAAGUCGAACGAGUGGCGCACGUGUGAGUCAUGUCUGUGAAACUGCCUGAUGGAGGGGGAUAACUACUGGAAACGUUACCUAAUACCGCAUACCAUCGGAUGUGCCCAGAUGGGAUUGGCUGGUAGUUGGGGUAAAGGUGCACAUAGGCGACGAUCCCUAGCGGGUCUGAGAGGAUGACGGGCAACACGGGAACGGGGACCAGGUCAAGACUCCUACGGGAGGAGGCAGGGGGGAAUAUGGGACAAUGUGCGAAAGCCUGAUGCAGCCAUGCCGCGUUUAUGAAGAGGGCCUUCGGGUUGUAAAGUACUUUCAGAGGGGAGGCGGUACCCGCAGAAGAAGCGCCGGCUAACUCCGUGCCAGCAGCCGCGGUAAUAC
rnacentral:rRNA from 1 species